UUCAUAAUUUAUUUUGAUAAAAUAGCACAGCCAUCUUGACAAUGGCAAACACGUUUCACUCCGACUGAUGUUCUUUUGCUCUGUUUGUACCCCCUUCUCUUCCCUGUGCCACCUAACCUAAGAUUCAGUACAGUUAGGAGGGCCACCCUGGACCACGCUGGGCUCCGAGUGUCUGGCAUAUCUAACGCUAACACAGUCCUGAGAUACACUGGCUGACUGCGCCUCCCUGAACUGGCAGGUGGCAGGUGGCAGCUCUGAGCUGUGGAACUCAGCCAACUUUCAUAGACCAGGCCCCUCACGCUUACAGACCAAAAAUGACAGAGCAGGGAGUCUCCUGGCAUCCUGGACCGAAAUGAGAGCUAAGGAAGGAAGCGUUGGGCUUGGGGCAGGAGACACGCUGGACGCGAUCAGAGCAUCACAGGAAGAUGUUCUCAGACUUAAAUACACACAAUGGUGAGUUUAAAGACUCUAGUUCACCACCUGCGCGUUCGUUGACUAUGGGAAGAAACCCACAUGAACAUACGAAGAACAUGCAAAUUCUAUACAUGCAGAGUCAAGGUGGGAAUCAAACUCACAAGCUCUAGAGGUGUGAGGCUAUCAUGCCACCCACUGAGCCCCAAGUUAAACGAUCGAUUACGAAUUACAGCUGGUUAUAAUGAACCACAAAGGGGUGUAAUUCAUCAGGGCACCAGUGGCAUUGAUAGUAUUCAGAUUAAAUCUCAAGGAAAACCAUGGAAGAUCUUUGAAUUGUCUGUCAAAAGUGCUAUUUAUAUCUGCCUUUGCCAAUGCUGAAGUGGAGAUUGCUCAAAGAGGAGGGAUGUUUCAAUGCCACUCAGCACUCCAGAGAAGACAAUGGCCACAUUGUGUGGACACCUGCGUUUUGAAAACAGAGAUAUCAUUAUCUCAGUCAGCAGCUCAGUCAGCUUCACAGAGGGCCUUGCUCUCAUCGGUAGCAACCCAACACGUAAAUGACACUUCAUGCAGCUGCGAAGCGAGAACACAGCUUCUGUUUCAGAGCCCUUGUGAGAAUGAGAAAAAUCAGUCAUUGAAAAUAUAAUUUGCAGAGUUGUCCAACACUUUCCAGUAACAAAGCAUUAGUUGUCAACAUAUUUAAAUGAUGUAAAUUGUACAUUCAACUGUACUGAAUGUGUUUAAGCAUUUCUCAUCCACUGCUACAUAGUUGCAUAAAAAUAUUUUCAAAGACCCAAGAGAAUACGUCAUUGUUUUGUUUGAUGACUUACACCGCAGACGUACAUGUUGACAUUCUGCG